rnacentral:lncRNA from 1 species
GAGAAAGGAGUUUGGGCAGUUCCAAGAGGAGACUAGGGCACAGUUUUGAGGUUUAAAUGAUAUGCUCUAGCAACUUAUGCAUGGGUUGGAGAGGCAGGCCACCCAGACAUACUUAAUGGCGGGGCAGAUUAAAAAGAUGGUGGAGAACGGAGCAUAAAAUUAGCAGUUCAUUGAUGAUAUGGAUUUUGAUCUGGCAGGAUGCUUUAUGGACCCUGUGCCACCACCACCGCCCCCUCCUUUAGCGACUUCCCCUAUUCCUCAUCCUCCAGCAGAUCCGACCAGUGAGGAUGCGCCUUCAGCAGACUACCAGUAGUGAAACAAAAAUUUG